UACCUCAUGUGGUUAUCGGUUUUAGAAAGCGAAUAACUAAAGCAGCAAUGCGCGUUUGGGAGGGAUCUCGCGUCCCAUCAGCUAGUUGGUGAGGUACGGCUCACCAAGGCGACGACGGGUACGGGACUGAGGAGGGUCGGCCCCCCACAAUGGAACUGAAACACGGUCCAUACACCUACGGGUGGCAGCAGUAGGGAAUAUUGCUCAAUGGGCGAAAGCCUGAAGCAGCAACGCCGCGUGUGCGAUGAAGGCCUUCGGGUCGUAAAGCACUUUUCUAAGAGAUGAGAAAGGACAGUAUCUUAGGAAUAAGUCUCGGCUAACUACGUG
rnacentral:rRNA from 1 species